CAACCCUCAAGCCCCGCUUGGUGUUGGGCCCCGCCCGCCGUGGCCGGCCCUAAAGACAGUGGCGGCGCCGCCUGGCCCUCAGCGUAGUACAGCUCUCGCUCCAGGGUCCGGCGGCCGCCUGCCAGAACCCCCAAUUUUUUACA
rnacentral:misc_RNA from 1 species